rnacentral:rRNA from 1 species
UACGUAGGGUCCGAGCGUUGUCCGGAAUUACUGGGCGUAAAGAGCUCGUAGGCGGUUUGUCGCGUUGUUCGUGAAAACUCACAGCUCAACUGUGGGCGUGCGGGCGAUACGGGCAGACUGGAGUACUGCAGGGGAGACUGGAAUUCCUGGUGUAGCGGUGGGAAUGCGCAGAUAUCAGGAGGAACACCGGUGGCGAAGGCGGGUCUCUGGGCAGUAACUGACGCUGAGGAGCGAAAGCGUGGGGAGCGAACAGG